rnacentral:rRNA from 1 species
AUACGGAGGGUCCAAGCGUUAUCCGGAAUCAUUGGGUUUAAAGGGUCCGCAGGCGGUCAAUUAAGUCAGAGGUGAAAGCCCAUCGCUCAACGAUGGAACUGCCUUUGAUACUGGUUGACUUGAGUUAUACGGAAGUAGAUAGAAUAAGUAGUGUAGCGGUGAAAUGCAUAGAUAUUACUUAGAAUACCGAUUGCGAAGGCAGUCUACUACGUAUAUACUGACGCUGAGGGACGAAAGCGUGGGGAGCGAACAGGAUUAGAUACCCCAGUAGUCC